UACGUAGGGGGCAAGCGUUGUCCGGAAUCAUUGGGCGUAAAGAGCGUGUAGGCGGUUCAGUAAGUCUGCUGUGAAAGUCCAAGGCUCAACCUUGGGAUGCCGGUGGAUACUGCUGAGCUAGAGUACGGAAGAGGCGAGUGGAAUUCCCGGUGUAGCGGUGAAAUGCGCAGAUAUCGGGAGGAACACCAAUUGCGAAGGCAGCUCGCUGGGACGUCACUGACGCUGAGACGCGAAAGCGUGGGGAGCAACAGG
rnacentral:rRNA from 1 species